AACCUACCUAUAAGACUGGGAUAACUUCGGGAAACCGGAGCUAAUACCGGAUAACAUAUUGAACCGCAUGGUUCAAUAGUGAAAGGCGGCUUUGCUGUCACUUAUAGAUGGAUCCGCGCCGUAUUAGCUAGUUGGUAAGGUAACGGCUUACCAAGGCAACGAUACGUAGCCGACCUGAGAGGGUGAUCGGCCACACUGGAACUGAGACACGGUCCAGACUCCUACGGGAGGCAGCAGUAGGGAAUCUUCCGCAAUGGGCGAAAGCCUGACGGAGCAACGCCGCGUGAGUGAUGAAGGUCUUCGGAUCGUAAAACUCUGUUAUCAGGGAAGAACAAAUGUGUAAGUAACUGUGCACAUCUUGACGGUACCUGAUCAGAAAGCCACGGCUAACUACGUGCCAGCAGCCGCGGUAAUACGUAGGUGGCAAGCGUUAUCCGGAAUUAUUGGGCGUAAAGCGCGCGUAAGGCGGUUUUUUAAGU
rnacentral:rRNA from 1 species